UACGAAGGGGGCUAGCGUUGCUCGGAAUUACUGGGCGUAAAGCGCACGUAGGCGGCUUGUUAAGUCAGGGGUGAAAUCCUGGAGCUCAACUCCAGAACUGCCUUUGAUACUGGCGAGCUUGAGUUCGGGAGAGGUGAGUGGAACUGCGAGUGUAGAGGUGAAAUUCGUAGAUAUUCGCAAAGAACACCAGUGGCGAAGGCGGCUCACUGGCCCGAUACUGACGCUGAGGUGCGAAAGCGUGGGAGCAACAGG
rnacentral:rRNA from 1 species